rnacentral:lncRNA from 1 species
AUGACAUCCCGCUGGUCAAAGAGGCGGAAAAUUAAAUCAAUGCUUAGGGCCACAGAGUCAGAAAUCCUGCAGCAGUUUGAUAAAACCUUUACUGAACCCAACAUGCAAGGCCACUCUGUCGCAGAACUGGAACAUGUUAAAUGCCCAAGUGUAGCAUUGGAGUCAGUUGUUUCAGUCUCCAGUCACUCAGUUGUGGACCAACCAGGUAGGCCUAUAGGGGAACAUGAGCAGAGGUCAGCAUUCAGUGAGACCCAUGUGUCAUUGGACAGUGUUCAUGACUGUCCAUCAGCUAGGCCUGUUGAUUCAGAAUCAGAUGAUUAUGAUGCUGAAGCUCCAACAUCAGAGUUAGUAUCAGUUGUGGACCAACCAGGUAUAGGGGAACAUGAGCAGCGGUCAGCAUUCAGUGAGACCCAUGUGUCAUUGGACAGUGUUCAUGAAUGUCCGUCAUCUAGGCCUGUUGAUUCAGAAUCAGAUGCUGAAGCUCCAACAUCAGACUUAGUGACAAGCUUAAGAUUUUGGGCCUCUUCCUUUUCUGUCUCACUAGCAGCAUUGACUGCACUCUUGAGCAUUUUGCGAGUGUUUCACCCAGAAUUGCCAAGAGAUGCUCGGACAAUUCUCAAGACACAAGGUGAAAUAAAAACUAAGAAAAUGGAGGGUGGGGAAUAUUACCACUUUGGCCUAGCCGCAGGAUUGAUGUCAAAACUUAAGUCUUUGAAGCUGCCUGCUAAUUUGACGACAAUUAAGCUGCAGUUUAGUAUAGAUGGUUUACCACUAUUCCGAAGCAGCAGAACUCAGUUCUGGCCCAUUCUGGCAACCAUUAAUGCUGAUUACAGCAGAUCGCCAUUCCUUGUCGGCCUCUUCUGUGGCUUUACCAAACCAAAGAGUGUCUUUGAGUUCUUGGGCCCAUUUAUUGAGGACCUUAGUGGCAUUCUAAAAAAUGGCAUUUGUUACAAAGGGCAGCAGAUAAUGGCAGAAGUGUGCUCGUUAUAUGCGAUGCCCCAGCACGAGCCUUUGUUAAAAAUAUAA